ACUCACCCACCACUAAUUUAAUGGUUACUAGUCUAUCAUUCACCUGCCUGACCUCAACCACCGACUCUCUAAGAUGGCUACCAACCAGAAUACCCACUCUGUUCUUACCCCUCAGACCUCCAGAGUACCACAGUUAUACCCAUCCGCGUUUCUCGCCCUCGAUCCUACCCACCUCGUCUCCUGGACACACGCUAUAUUAAUCUUCCUCUUUUGAAGGAUCUUCGCUAAUUCAAUGGACUUACUCGUUAGCGAACCUAUAUUCCAUGACCCGAUUCUCAACCUAUA
rnacentral:lncRNA from 1 species